rnacentral:sRNA from 1 species
AAAAAUCUUUUAAAAACU